rnacentral:rRNA from 1 species
AUUGAACGCUGGCGGCAUGCUUUACACAUGCAAGUCGAACGGUAACAGGCCGCAAGGUGCUGACGAGUGGCGAACGGGUGAGUAAUGCAUCGGAACGUGCCCAGUCGUGGGGGAUAACGCAGCGAAAGCUGCGCUAAUACCGCAUACGAUCUCUGGAUGAAAGCGGGGGACCGAAAGGCCUCGCGCGAUUGGAGCGGCCGAUGUCAGAUUAGGUAGUUGGUGGGGUAAAGGCCCACCAAGCCAACGAUCUGUAGCUGGUCUGAGAGGACGACCAGCCACACUGGGACUGAGACACGGCCCAGACUCCUACGGGAGGCAGCAGUGGGGAAUUUUGGACAAUGGGCGCAAGCCUGAUCCAGCAAUGCCGCGUGCAGGAAGAAGGCCUUCGGGUUGUAAACUGCUUUUGUACGGAACGAAACGGUUCGGGUUAAUACCCUGGGCUAAUGACGGUACCGUAAGAAUAAGCACCGGCUAACUACGUGCCAGCCGCCGCCGUAAGAC